GACGUAGGGCGCGAGCGUUGUCCGGAUUUAUUGGGCGUAAAGAGCUCGUAGGCGGUUUGUCGCGUCUGCUGAUGAAAACUGGAGGCUCAACCUCCAGCCUGCAGUGGGUACGGGCAGACUAGAGUGCGGUAGGGGAGAUUGGAAUUCCUGGUGUAGCGGUGAAAUGCGCAGAUAUCAGGAGGAACACCGGUGGCGAAGGCGGGUCUCUGGGCCGAUACUGACGCUGGAGGAGCGAAAGCGUGGGGAGCGAACAGG
rnacentral:rRNA from 1 species